CAUACUGUACACACACACACACACACACAUACACAUGCUACACACGCACACACACACACACACACACACACACACACACACACACACAUACACAUGCUGCACACAACACACACACACACACGCGCGCGCGGCAUCCCCAUCCACCCGUUCCUCCAUCCAUCCGUCUCCCACAGUGUGGUCUGGCUCGGCCCACAGUCUGCCCUCCACGUGUAAUUAUCUAAGCUUAUGGUAGAGAAAUUAACAUUCAAUUAUGUGGCAACAGCUCUGGUGGACAUUCCUGCAGUCAGCGUGCCAAUUGCACUCUCCCUCAGAACUUGAGACAUCUGUGACAUUGUGUUGCUUGACAAAACUGCACAUUUUAUUGUCCCCAGCACAAGGUGCACCUGUGUAAUGAUCAUGCUGUUUAAUCAGCUCCUUGAUAUGCCACAUCUGUCAAGUGGAUGGAUUAUCUUGAGAAAGGAGAAAUGCUCACUAACAGGGAUGCAAACUCAUUUGUGCAUAACAUUUGAGAGAAAUAUAUAUUUUUUGUGUACGGAACAUUUCUGGGAGAUUUUAUUUCAGCUCAUGAAACAUGGGACCAACACUUUACAUGGUGUGUUUAUAUUUAAAUUCAAUACACAUGAACACUCACCCUCAAUUCAACCAUUCAAUUAAGAUUAAGUCAAUAGCACGACAUGUCAGUUUUGGGGGAUAUAUGAAGACAAAUAGCUGGGAGAAUCAGAGACAAGCAUGGUGAAUGUGUGUGUGUUUGUGUUUAGUGUGACCUGAUUAAAGACAUCUGCUUGUUUGGGGCCCAGGGAGGGAGGUGUAUGACUGUCUUUAGUAGUGGGAGGUGUGGAAGGGAGGUGUGGGAGGUGUGCCUCUCUCAGAAGCUGUUUACAGUUAAAACCUGCCUCCUCCUCCACCUCUCCUCCACCUCUCCUCCUCCUCCACCUCCUCCACCCCUCCUCCUCCUCCACCUCUCCUCCUCCUCCCUCUCCUCCACCUAGCCUGUCUUACUCCUCUCCCCCUCUCCGCCUCUCCUCUCUUCCUCCACCUCUCCUCCUCCUCUCCUCCUCCACCUCUCCUCCUCUCUCUCCCUCCCUCCCCCUUCUCUCCAUCAUUCUCCCUCCCUCCCUCACUCCCUCUCUUUCUCCCUCCCCCUCUCUGCUGGGUAGUAUACAGUGUGUUUCAAGUCUAACCCUGACACCCAGCAGAGAGGGAGAGGGAGAAAGGGGGAAGGGAGGGAGAGAGAGAGGGAGAAGGAGAGGGACGGACUACGCUCGCACACCUAAACGCAUGCAGAUGUGCCUCAGAUUCCUCUUGAGUUGAGCAUAGUUUCUUUCUUGUCAAAGGUUCUUUUUUAUUUUUCUGUGUUAUGGGAAAAUACCUGCACCUUAUUUGUGGAAAAAUCUUCAAAAUGUUUUGGUGCCUUUAGGGCCAUUCAGAGAGCUGAUAGAGGACCUUAUUACUGAUGAAUGUGUUUGUGAUUCUUCCUGCUUGUAUUUUCUAUGUAUCAUUUGCAGUGUGUUCUUCUGUAAUGUUGGUAAUUCAGGACUCAUCUGUAAAACAGACCUUGGUCUCAGUAUGACUCCCUGAAGAAAAUAAAAGGUUAAAUAAAAAAAUAAUUUAAAAAAAUGAUUAUUUAUGCUGAUGCUUGUGACAUCAUACUCUCAGAACCCCGUUUGGGUUCCAUCUGAGACCAGACCAUGUGAGUCAGUGGGGAGAUUCAGGUAGAGACCAGACCAUGUGACUCAGUGGGGAGAUUCAGGUAGAGACCAGACCAUGUGACUCAGUGGGGAGAUUCAGGUAGAGACCAGACCAUGUGAGUCAGUGGGGAGAUUCAGGUAGAGACCAGACCAGACCAUGUGAGUCAGUGGGGAGAUUCAGGUAGAGACCAGACCAGACCAGACCAGACCAGACCAUGUGAGUCAGUGGGGAGAUUCAGGUAGAGACCAGACCAGACCAUGUGAGUCAGUGGGGAGAUCCAGGUAGAGACCAGACCAGACCGUGUGAGUCAGUGGGGAGAUUCAGGUAGAGACCAGACCAGACCAUGUGACUCAGUGGGGAGAUCCAGGUAGAGACCAGACCAGACCAGACCAGACCAUGUGAGUCAGUGGGGAGAUUCAGGUAGAGACCAGACCAGACCAUGUGACUCAGUGGGGAGAUCCAGGUAGAGACCAGACCAUGUGAGUCAGUGGGGAGAUUCAGGUAGAGACCAGACCAGACCAUGUGACUCAGUGGGGAGAUUCAGGUAAAGACCAGACCAGACCAUGUGAGUCAGUGGGGAGAUUCAGGUAGAGACCAGACCAGACCAUGUGAGUCAGUGGGGAGAUUCAGGUAGAGACCAGACACCAGACACUACUUAAAGUGGAUUGUUUGUUAAAAGUGCCCCAGAUAGAACAGGGAGCAACAGCACCCUAUUCUCUAGAUAGAACAGGGAGCAACAGCACCCUAUUCUCUAGAUAGAACAGGGAGCAACAGCACCCUAUUCUCUAGAUAGAACAGGGAGCAACAGCAC